AUUUUCUCCCACAACAACCACAGCAGCAACGACAGCAAAUGAGGGAUCACUGGGACUACGAUUCAGAAUGAUCCGUACAUUCCUAAGUAACUAUUUGGACUAGUCCACAACCGCAUUUCAGGAAUUGGCAGCAAAUGUGACCAAAGAGUGUUUUUUUCUGGCAUCCUGGAACACACCCUGUCUGGUUACCGGGCAAUGUAGCCAGUUGGGAGUUCUGAUUACCCGCACCUGUAUCCGAUCAGCUAUCUGCACACCUGGUCCUGAUCAUCAUCUCUCCUCUUCAUAAACCCGGACCUGACAUCCAUUCCCUGCCGGAUCGUUAGCCAUGAACAUUACUCACCCGGAUCAUUUACCCCAUUCCCACCUGGUCGUCGGAGGAUUCCGCUAUCCCAUUGGAUCCACCUAUUUACUCCCAUCAACUCACCACCGCUGCCCGCUACGCCACCUGGAUAUAUUUACACAUUCACUUGUAAAUAAAUACUCACCUUCUUCCUACUAUCCUUGUCCUGGUCUGCUUCUGGGUUCGAUUUUGAAAGAACGUGACAAUAUAUAUCCAUGAACUGAUUUUGACUGGCUGAGAAAAGCUGCCUGUCUGUCUGUCUCGUCCCUACUCCCGACAUGUUCAUUAUUACUGGACAGCUGGAGAUCGAAUUUGAAAAUUGAAACAAUGUUGCAAAUGUCGGAGAGACGGAGAGCAAAGGGUUUAUACAAAUCUUCGCUGUUAAACUAAAUGGUAGCCGAAAAGAAAUGUGAGAUUUUUUUUUUAUAGUGGAGAUCAAGUUUGUAAAUUGCUUGGCUGGACUGAAGAGACAGUUGGAUGGAGUAGUCAGAUGGAACAGAGUAAAUAGGCAUUUUAAGGUCAUAGAUUUAGCCAGCGGUAAUUUGUGGAAUAGACACUGUCUGAAAUUCGAUUUUAACCAAUCAGCAUUCAGGACAAGACCCACCCGUUAUAUAAUACAGUAUUACACAAUGGCCUUGUUGCAAUCAAAAAGUAUGAUUUGAAAUGGAGGCCAGUAGGCCUACUUAGAACUGCCACAUCAAGGGUGUGCAGACCUACACAAUCAAUAUAUUUGUUUUUUUAAAUGUUUUAUUAAAGUGCAUUUCUGUCGUUUUCA